rnacentral:rRNA from 1 species
CACGUAGGGCGCGAGCGUUGUCCGGAAUUAUUGGGCGUAAAGAGCUCGUAGGCGGCCUGUUGCGUCCGCUGUGAAAGCCCGGGGCUUAACCCCGGGUCUGCAGUGGAUACGGGCAGGCUAGAGGUAGGUAGGGGAGAAUGGAAUUCCCGGUGUAGCGGUGAAAUGCGCAGAUAUCAGGAGGAACACCGGUGGCGAAGGCGGAUCUCUGGGCCUUACCUGACGCUGAGGCGCGAAAGCUAGGGGAGCGAACAGG